GUCACAUCCCAUCGGCCCCUUGGGCAACACUGUGCCGAUAACGAUCACUCUAAACCUCACAAGCCGUCCACAACUGCUACGUCUACACCCAUAGAAAAGGUUUUGAUAUUUUUUUAUCUAUGUAUAUUUGUCAUUUCGGUCGAUUUCAAUAAAAACAUUCUGCCACGUCCACAAACCAACCAAGUCUGACACGCCCACAAUUAAACAAAAUUUUCUGUUCCUACUCUACAAACCGACCAUAACCGCCAUACAUUUUUCAAUACGACUAAUUUUAUUCAACUUUAAACUGGGAAUAAAGAACGUCCUGAAUUUUGAGAUUUUUGAGCCUUGAGUGAUUGAGCUUGACUUUCGUGGUAUUUGCUUUAAAAGCGAAGGUUUAUUGCUUUCAGGCUGUGACCAUCCAUUUAAAUGAAUGAAUAUGUUUGCUUUCUAAAACGAUUGGGUAUACUUAAAUUAACAAAUAAGUUAAUAAUAAAUACUUACCCUAAUAAAUAUAUAGCAGUUACGAUUCCAGAUACAACAAAGCUAAUAACAAGCAAUGAUAAGAUUAUACUUCGCCAAUUGUGACCUUCAUCAAAAUCGAAAUCAUGAUCUUUUUGCUUUGGAUCUUGCACCUGCAGAGUUUCAUCCGGUGGUAGUCUCCAGGAACCGCCUCCUCCACCACUACGAUCUGACGUCAUAUUAGUGUGCAUUUCCAACUGGGCAAUCCAGUCCAAUAUCUAUGAUUUAUUUAUGUAUGCCUAAUGCAUAUCUGCAAAAGAUUUCAAAAUUGAAAGAACUUAAAAAAUAAAUAAAUAAAAUCGGUUCUAAAAUAUAUAUUUUUUUAUGUUAAGAAAUGGUCAACUAAAAUAAGAGAGAACGCUAUAGUCGAGUUUCCCGAAUAUCAGAUGCCCGUUACUCACAGUCCGAGAAUUUACAUAAUUUUUCAGAAAUAUCGUUAGAAAUUGGGAAACAAAAUUUAUUUUAAUGCUCUAAUGUGUGGGGGGGGGUUAGAUUUGGCCUGUUUUAAUCACUGCAGUGUGGUCCAGAAUUAGAUUUUUAUUAAAUUGAGCUACAGACUAUAAACUUUGUACAUUUUGUUGUUAAGUCACAAAUAGUUUGCACGCAAAAUCUGUGCGACCACGCCCUCUCUUGCCUCCCAUAUUAACUACUGGUAUGACUCAGGAGUCAACGAAACUUUAUUGUUUUUUUUUUAUAAAAGUGUGUAUAUUGUUGCUUUAAAAAUAAUCGCCCUCUUCUUCUUCUAGUUCUACAUUAUAAAUUUCUGAAUCUGAACUCGAAUCAGAAUCAGAAUGUGAAUCCAUUAUUUUGCCUAAUGGAUCAGGUUUAAAACUAGACUGUAAAGACCAAAAGACUUAUUACAUUAUUUAUUAUUUUAUCCAGAUAUGCCGAUUAAACGAAUCUAUAUUUUGUAUGGGUAUGACAGAAGUUACAAACAAAGAUUGAUCAGAAACUGGUGUGCCAAGUGCUUCACUUUCAAAUUUGUGCAUGUAAUAUAUCUGGAAAUUGAUUGAAAACAUCAGAUUGCAACUUAAUUAAUCUUUGCGAUGUAUGAUCCAAGAGAUUUUGUAAUAGCACUUGCGCAGUGUUUUCCAUUACUUCUAUACCCUCUGGUCGGCACUGUAAUUUUGCUUUGAUCACUUCAUUAUACGGCGGAUAUAUGUCGCUGUUAUGGCUUUUAUUUAAAAUCCUGGCGCUUAUAUAUUGCUGUAUUGUCAGUGUGUUUUCCAGGAGAUAAGCUAGAGCUUCAUCUGGUGAAAGAGGAGUUGGUUUUUGCCAUUGAAUUUGCAUCAUCGAUUCGCUUGAAAAUUCUGGUGUUUUUAAAGUUUCAUUAAGAACAAAGGCAACGUCCCUCUUGCGUUCAUUUCUAGCAGAAACAGGUGCUGCAUGGAUCAUAAGACUUGUGUCGUGAUCACUUUCACUUGCCAGAUUGGAUGCCAGUUUCCUUUUUAAUCUUUCUCCUGCAUUUUGGUAAGAUAAGUUUAUGCGUCCCAUUUAUUGUGGCGCCUUGGAGUUUUCAAAAUCUCUAACAAGAAUUGUUAUCUUAGACGCCAUCCACUUGGUAUGUUUGGAAAUAAAUCGGGCAGUUUUCUUUUAAUAAAUAAUCAAAAUGUACUAUUUUUUUGUCAACCUCUUCUGUCUUUUUCGAUUAUUGUUGUUGAUUGCGGAAUAAACGUAAUCUGAAACAUAACUUAUUUGCCUAUUGUUACGCCUCCAAAUGUCCAGGAGGUCGCUAUGUCUGAACUCGAACUUGCCUAUAAAUAAUCAAAUUUUAAGAAAACGAGCAAAAGAUGUUACUUUACCGUCAAAGACAAUAGUUAAAGGUACAAACUGACGUUUUGAACUUUUGUCAGAAAUUGUCAGAAAAUAAGUUAUACUCGAAUACGAAACACAGGGGAAUUUUCUAUUAAAAUACACAUAAAUUGGAUGUUACACAACACAAAAACAGUACAACUACACAUAUAUUAACUAAAUACGUUAAAAACAACAUACCUUGGCAUUUAUUUUCCAUAUUUUGCUAUAAUUUAUGGAUGCGUAUUAACCAUCGUACCAAAAGUAAGCAAAUAAUUUGGCGGGAAUUGGAUUCUCUCAAUCAGCUGUUUAACACUUAACCUUUAAAAGCUCAUAAAACGAUUUAG
ensembl:ncRNA asRNA:CR46487 antisense RNA:CR46487